AUUGAACGCUGGCGGCAGGCCUAACACAUGCAAGUCGAGCGGAUGAAGGGAGCUUGCUCCUGGAUUCAGCGGCGGACGGGUGAGUAAUGCCUAGGAAUCUGCCUGGUAGUGGGGAUAACGUCCGGAAACGGGCGCUAAUACCGCAUACGUCCUGAGGGAGAAAGUGGGGGAUCUUCGGACCUCACGCUAUCAGAUGAGCCUAGGUCGGAUUAGCUAGUUGGUGGGGUAAAGGCCUACCAAGGCGACGAUCCGUAACUGGUCUGAGAGGAUGAUCAGUCACACUGGAACUGAGACACGGUCCAGACUCCUACGGGAGGCAGCAGUGGGGAAUAUUGGACAAUGGGCGAAAGCCUGAUCCAGCCAUGCCGCGUGUGUAAAGAAGGUCUUCGGAUUGUAAAGCACUUUAAGUUGGGAGGAAGGGCAGUAAGUUAAUACCUUGCUGUUUUGACGUUACCAACAGAAUAAGCACCGGCUAACUUCGUG
rnacentral:rRNA from 1 species